GAUGAACGCUGGCGGCGUGCCUAACACAUGCAAGUCGAGCGGCAGCGAGGGGUGCUUGCACCCUGUCGGCGAGCGGCGGACGGCUGAGUAACGCGUGGGAACGUGCCCCAAAGUGAGGAAUAACUGCCCGAAAGGGUAGCUAAUACCGCAUAUUAUCUUCGGAUCAAAGGAUUUAUCCGCUUUGGGAGCGGCUCGCGUCGGAUUAGGUAGUUGGUGAGGUAAUGGCUCACCAAGCCGACGAUCCGUAGCUGGCCUGAGAGGAUGACCAGCCAGACUGGAACUGAGACACGGUCCAGACUCCUACGGGAGGCAGCAGUGAGGAAUCUUCCACAAUGGGCGAAAGCCUGAUGGAGCAACGCCGCGUGCAGGACGAAGGCCUUCGGGUUGUAAACUGCUUUUAUAAGUGAGGAAUAUGACGGUAACUUAUGAAUAAGGAUCGGCUAACUACGUG
rnacentral:rRNA from 1 species